UGGUGGCUGGAAGGCUGAAGAGUGGAGUCAUCUGAAGGGCACUCAUUCAUGUGCCUGGCGGUGGAUGUUGACUGUUGGCUGGCACCAGCAUGGGGCUGGGGCUGAAACACCCACGUGUGGCCCUUCCACGUAGUUGCUUAUCUUCCCCACAAUAUGGCAGCUGGGUUCCAGAAUCUGAGUCAAGACAGUCGCAAAGCAUUGCCCUGGUGCAAGGAGAGAGAACGUAGACUCUAUCUCUUGACAGUCAAAUAGCAAGUUUUGCAAGAACAGAUGAGACUGGAAAUACUAACGUGGCCAUUUCUGGGAGAUACAGCCUGCCCCACUAAGUCCUCUCCUUUCUGCCAUUGUACCAUAUAUGAGCAGAGCAAAUGUGGAAAAUUACCCAGAUCCUCUUGGCUUCCCAUAUGAAUAAUUUUUUUUUAGAUCCUUCAGGCACCUCUGGCUGGAACUCAUGAAAUAAAUGAACUACAAUUAAUUAUGGUUACACGAAAUGAAUGUGCCAUCCCUCACAUAAGUGGAAAUAUUUGUAUGGAGCUGCAAAGGAUGUGUAAGAUUUCUACAGGCAGAGGAAACAGAACAAACAAAGGCCCAGAUGCUUGAAGUUGCUGGGCACAUUCAAGGAUAGGAAGAAGGUCAUGGAACUGUAGUCCUCCAAAAUAGCCUAAUUUGUCAAAAGAAGAAACAUGCUGCAGGUGUUUACAAGAUGAAAAGACUGGAAAAGUUGCAACUGCCAGUUUCCAUGGAACUGUUGCCUGGGGACGUCCUGUCACCACAACAUCUUGUGACCAGAUAAAUGAUUCUGUUGAUUGUUGUUUCUUUUUAAGCUCUGGCUAUAUAACCACCCCGCCCCAUCCCCAAGGUGGGCUCACAGUUUUGAAGGUACCAGCCUGCUGUGAGGCCCCUUUGCCUGGGAAAGCAAUAAACCUGCCUCUUUACUUCUAAGCUCCAAGACCCUGUCUCUGGGUUAUUUGUCACGUCAGGGACGGGGGCCGAUCUUUUGGCAACAAAUUCAUGGCGCCCACAGGAGGCAUGAACCACCCUCUUUUCUAAGAGGGGCUUCAGGUUCCACCUCGCUGCCAGGCCAGCAAGGCUUGAACAACUGCCACUCCAGGCCGAUGGGAGGGACGGUGGAGAAUGGGGCCCAGUGGCUGCCAGGGCCUCUUUGCUCUGGGGAUCCUUACAUCCCUUGCCCUUCCACCCAUCAGCGGACCACAGUAGCCUAAACCGAUUUCUUGGAGGAAGAAAAGAUGGCUCUGUUUCUUCUGAAGUGUCGCAUCCGACCGGCAGGCCGAGGGUAAGUUCCCGGGGACGACCGAGGCCCCUUGAUCUCGCCUUGAGAGUUCUCUCAUUAGACAGACGGAGAUCUCUCGUUUGUAUUUGAAAUGGGUACCCAUUUGUAACAGAGGUCUCGGGCUGAGAGGACUUGGAAGUGAAAAUAUGUGUAAGUUUGGAAUUUGAAUUUGUUUUAGCCUGUCGUUUGUAAGGUUGUGUCUCCACUUACCCACAAAGGCCUGGU